AACGCACAUUGCGCCCUUUGGUAUUCCGAAGGGCAUGCCUGUUCGAGCGUCAUUACAACCCUCAAGCUCUGCUUGGUAUUGGGCCUCGCCAGCAAUGGCGUGCCUUAAAAUCAGUGGCGGUGCCGUCUGGCUCUAAGCGUAGUAAUUUCUCUCGCUCUAGAUGUCAUAUGGAUACUUGCCAUCAACCCCCAAUUUUUAAAGGUUGACCUCGGAUCAGGUAGGGAUACCCGCUGAACUUAA
rnacentral:misc_RNA from 1 species